GAAGGGGGGUCCCUGUCUCAGCAGGGGCAGAAGGGCUGUGCUGAACACCCAGGGAAGGUGAGGAGGAAAACGUUGGAUCUCAGAGAAGAGAAGAGGGAGCUGCAGGAGGUGAAUGGGACCAUCUGUGUCUGUCAGAACUGUCACCCAGAGGAGCUGCCAGCCCCAGGAGCCCUGAAGGAGCCACUGACCCCAGAGAGAGCCCUGCGGGAGGCAGCGACGUGUGUGUGGGAUCCAGCCCGGCCACCAUCUCCUUCCCCUUCUACACCUGGGUUGAGCCAUGCCACAGGUGCACAGAGAAGGGGUGAGCACCUGUGCCACCGCUCAGCCUCUUCCCUGCCCCCAAGCACUGUGCCCUGCCUCCAGCAGCAACACCACACGGCGCUGGGGGUCCUGCACCACAUCCAGCGCUGCCUGCGGGAGCUGCAAGUAGAGGACCUCGGUGUGCUGGGAGCAGAGCUGGGCACCACAGCAAAUGAGGAGAGGUUCCUGAUGCCACCUCUUGACAUUCCUCCAAGCCCCAACAGGAACAAGCUCGCUGCUGCGACCAGGACUCGAGAUGAAGCAUGGAGGAGAAUGCCCAAGGAGAGUUUCUCUGCAUGCGAGGGGGGAAAUGAGAAUUUCAUGCAGUACUGAUUGCUGCACUUCCUUGCUGGAGGAGGCAGGGAGUGAAAAUGGAAAUCUUUGUCUGCUUUCUUCCCAAUCAAAAUAAAAAUGUUCCUCAUUAUAUUUUUCUGGACUGGGG
ensembl:lncRNA